GCCUGAGUGACAAGAGUCCCUCCUUUGGCGUUGGAGUUUAAGGAACAGCACAGAACAGUAUUUCCUGUUGCAGAUAUUUGCAUUUCAGGAGUCCUUGCUCUUGACCUGAGGUAGCUUCACUUCUAUCUUUCCUUGCGUGUUACCUGGGUAUCUGCCUAGUUGUGUCUGUACGCAGUACCGGCAGCAUCCAGAAGAGGGCAGAAGAUACCAACCAUUGGAGUCACAGCACAUUGUUAGCUACCAUGUGUUACGGAAAUGGAACCUGGGUCCUCUGGACAGCACUCAGUGCUCUUAUCUGCUGAGCCAACUCUCCAGCCCCUCUUCUUUGAAUUUAAGGUUUACUUUUGUACUUGUUCAUUGAAAUAUAUUGCAUCUCAUACACCCUUCCUUGUCCUCCCUCCUUCCCUUCCCAAAUUCUUCCUUGUCAUGCAUGAGUAAGUACACUCUUAAUAUAUGACUACAA